AUGAUGUGUCCUGUCCAGUUCCUGUAUCUGCUAAUUAUCUGCAUUCUGGGAACCACUGGUGAUGUUGUGAUGACCCAGAAUCCACUCUCUUUGUCGGUUACCAUUGGACAAUCUGCCUCCAUCUCUUGCCGGUCAAGUCAGAGUCUCUUACAUAGUAAUGGAAAAACCUAUUUGAGUUGGUUCCUACAGAGGCCAGGCCAGUCUCCACAGCUCUUAAUCUAUUUGGUGUCCAAACUUGACUCUGGAGUCCCUGACAGGUUCAGUGGCAGUGGAUCAGGGAUGGAUUUCACUCUCAAAAUCAGCAGAGUAGAGGCUGAGGAUUUGGGCAUUUAUUACUGUUUCCAAGGUACACAUGUUCCCCCUCACAGUGAUACAGACCGUAACAAAAAACUUUCUUGCUUGGAGAGGCCCAGCUGCAAUGUGCUGCUUGACUGGAGAAGAGCUGUUCACUCUGCAUCAGUGUCAGUUGCCCUUGCAGGGGAACUAGGCCAAUUGUUUGCACAUAGAGCUCUAGCUAGACUCAUCUGGCUGAAUGAGUGGUUAGGUUUGUCCACGUGUGACAGCAAUUUCUGGUCCUUCGUUCUGUAA